rnacentral:rRNA from 1 species
UUCGGGAUGCCGGCGAGUGGCGAACGGGUGCGUAACGCGUGGAAACCUGCCCUGAGACGGGGGACAACAGCUGGAAACGGCUGCUAAUACCGCAUAAGCCCUACGGGGGAAAGACGCAAGUCGUCUUGGGAGGGGUCCGCGUCGGAUUAGCUUGUUGGCGAGGUAAUGGCUCACCAAGGCGAUGAUCCGUAGCUGGUCUGAGAGGACGAUCAGCCACACUGGGACUGAGACACGGCCCAGACUCCUACGGGAGGCAGCAGUGGGGAAUAUUGCGCAAUGGGGGAAACCCUGACGCAGCGAUACCGCGUGGGUGAAGAAGGUCUUCGGAUUGUAAAGCCCUUUCAGUGGGAAAGAUGAUGACGGUACCCACAGAAGAAGCUCCGGCUAACUCCGUGCCAGCAGCCGCGGUAAUACGGAGGGGGCGAGCGUUGUUCGGAAUUACUGGGCGUAAAGGGCGCGUAGGCUGUUUUGCAAG